UAGAUGUCCGUGGUCCAGAGCACAUGG
rnacentral:piRNA from 1 species